CCUACGGGAGGCAGCAGUGGGGAAUAUUGCACAAUGGGGGAAACCCUGAUGCAGCGACGCCGCGUGAGUGAUGACGUCUUUCGGUAUGUAAAGCUCUAUCAGCAGGGACGAAAAUGACGGUACCUGAUGAAGAAGCCACGGCUAACUACGUGCCAGCAGCCGCGGUAAUACGUAGGGGGCAAGCGUUAUCCGGAUUUACUGGGUGUAAAGGGAGCGUAGACGGCAGCACAAGUCUGGAGUGAAAUGCUGGGGCUUAACCCCGGUACUGCAUUUGAAACUGUACAGCUAGAGUGCAGGAGAGGUAAGUGGAAUUCCUAGUGUAGCGGUGAAAUGCGUAGAGAUUAGGAGGAACACCAGUGGCGAAGGCGACUUACUGGACUGUAACUGACGUUGAGGCUCGAAAGCGUGGGGAGCAAACAGGAUUAGAUACCCCUGUAGUC
rnacentral:rRNA from 1 species